rnacentral:lncRNA from 1 species
AAGCUGAUAUUUAAUAGAUGCCCCACCACAUGAAGUAACACCUGAAACGUUCUCUUUUCAUCGCCCAUCACCAGAUUAGGCGAAGAAUUGGGAAAAUCUGUAGAAAAGCCAAAGCCCUUAUAAAUACACAGGCAUUUAACAAGACAAGAAGCCUCUCUGAUCAGUGAAUGCAGCUGAAACGGCAUCAUUUCUACUGGGAUUCUUCCUUCAUCUUUGUCGGAUAUAUCCAUUGCGUCGUUUAUUAAAGUUGACAGGACGGUGCUUGUUCUCACCAUUGUGUCAAUAAUAAUCCUCUGGUUACAGCUUGUAAAGUUCUCGUCUUGAAGUAUGGAAAGCAAACAUAAAACUGAGUGCAUUGGCCGUCUCAUCCCAUUGUUCAUUACCUAGUGCUCGUUCUCACCAUUGUGUCAAUAAUAAUCCUCUGGUUACAGCUUGUAAAGUUCUCGUCUUGAAGUAUGGAAAGCAAACCCAAAACUGAGUGCAUUGGCCGUCUCAUC